rnacentral:rRNA from 1 species
AGGACGAACGCUGGCGGCGUGCUUAACACAUGCAAGUCGAACGGAUUCGUGGCACUUGUGUCGCGGGUUAGUGGCGAACGGGUGAGUAACACGUGAGUAACCUGCCCCAGACUCUGGGAUAACUCCGGGAAACCGGUGCUAAUACUGGAUAUGACAUCAAGCCGCAUGGUUAUGGUGUGGAAAGUUUUUCGGUCUGGGAUGGGCUCGCGGCCUAUCAGCUUGUUGGUGAGGUAGUGGCUCACCAAGGCGACGACGGGUAGCCGGCCUGAGAGGGCGAUCGGCCACACUGGGACUGAGACACGGCCCAGACUCCUACGGGAGGCAGCAGUGGGGAAUAUUGCACAAUGGGCGCAAGCCUGAUGCAGCGACGCCGCGUGAGGGAUGACGGCCUUCGGGUUGUAAACCUCUUCAGCAGGGAGAGCCUCGUUCGGGGUGACGGUCCGUGCGAGAAGAAGCACCGGCUAACUACGUGCCAGCAGCCGCGGUAA